GCCGUGGACCAUCCACCUACAGCUAGGCAUAAAUGGGUUAACUUUUUUUGUUGACAUGAAAUUGGAAUUAUUUCUUGGUAGUACACCUGAUACCCAUGGAUCGAAGGGUGUACCGCGUUGUCAGAACAGUGCAGUACUUCUAAAUGUGUAGCAACCUCGGCGCAGAGAUUUGACUGGAACCAGCAUAGCUGGAUCAAAUCCCUGAUGGUAGCCGAGCAACGUGUUCACUUCAAGAACUGCUCCACAAACGAUCUGAUGGGAUUAAAUGGCAGCACCACGUACUGUCAGACCAACCUCUGUAACGAUGCCGUAACCAUGGGGACGCCGUCAGUUACGCUUCUGUGUGGCUAUGUCGUGUUGAGGGCGAGUAUUCGAUUGAACAAAUAGGACUUCCACGUUUGCAUCAAAACAAAUAAUUUGGCGAUAACUUCUUUACACGUCAAGUAUGUGUUAUACUGAUAAUAAAUGUCUGUUUCAAAUACCGUAACUUAUUUGUAUUGACAUAUUGUAUGAAAUGUAGAAUAACAAACCAUUAAUAAAGUUUAUUUUAUGA